UACGGAGGGGGCUAGCGUUGUUCGGAAUUACUGGGCGUAAAGCGCACGUAGGCGGUUGGUUAAGUUGGAUGUGAAAGCCCCGGGCUCAACCUGGGAAUUGCAUUCAAAACUGGCUAACUAGAGUAUGUGAGAGGGGGGUAGAAUUCCAAGUGUAGCGGUGAAAUGCGUAGAUAUAGGAAGGAACACCAGUGGCGAAGGCGGCUCACUGGCUCGACACUGACGCUGAGGUGCGAAAGCAUGGGGAGCAAACAGG
rnacentral:rRNA from 1 species